UACGUAGGGUGCAAGCGUUGUCCGGAAUUAUUGGGCGUAAAGAGCUCGUAGGCGGUCUGUUGCGUCGGCUGUGAAAACCCGGGGCUCAACCCCGGGCCUGCAGCCGAUACGGGCAGACUAGAGUUCGGCAGGGGAGACUGGAAUUCCUGGUGUAGCGGUGAAAUGCGCAGAUAUCAGGAGGAACACCGGUGGCGAAGGCGGGUCUCUGGGCCGAUACUGACGCUGAGGAGCGAAAACGUGGGAGCGGAACAAGG
rnacentral:rRNA from 1 species